rnacentral:rRNA from 1 species
CGGGGGAGCAAGCGUUGUUCGGAUUUACUGGGCGUAAAGGGCGCGUAGGCGGCGCAACAAGUCACUUGUGAAAUCUCCGGGCUUAACCCGGAGCGGCCAAGUGAUACUGUCGUGCUAGAGUGCGGAAGGGGCUACUGGAAUUCUCGGUGUAGCGGUGAAAUGCGUAGAUAUCGAGAGGAACACCUGCGGCGAAGGCGGGUAGCUGGGCCGACACUGACGCUGAGGCGCGAAAGCCAGGGGAGCGAACGGGAUUAGAUACCCCGGUAGUCCUGGCCUUAAACGAUGGAUGCUUGGUGUCCGGGGUUACAUAGUCCCCGGGUGCCGGCGCUAACGCAUUAAGCAUCCCGCCUGGGGAGUACGGUCGCAAGACUG